AUUGAACGCUGGCGGCAGGCUUAACACAUGCAAGUCGAGCGGGGUGAUGGUGCUUGCACUAUCACUUAGCGGCGGACGGGUGAGUAAUGCUUAGGAAUCUGCCUAUUAGUGGGGGACAACAUCUCGAAAGGGAUGCUAAUACCGCAUACGUCCUACGGGAGAAAGCAGGGGAUCACUUGUGACCUUGCGCUAAUAGAUGAGCCUAAGUCGGAUUAGCUAGUUGGUGGGGGAAAGGCCUACCAAGGCGACGAUCUGUAGCGGGUCUGAGAGGAUGAUCCGCCACACUGGGACUGAGACACGGCCCAGACUCCUACGGGAGGCAGCAGUGGGGAAUAUUGGACAAUGGGGGGAACCCUGAUCCAGCCAUGCCGCGUGUGUGAAGAAGGCCUUAUGGUUGUAAAGCACUUUAAGCGAGGAGGAGGCUCAUUUGGUUAAUACCCAAGAUGAGUGGACGUUACUCGCAGAAUAAGCACCGGCUAACUCUGUGCCAGCCGCCGCCGUAA
rnacentral:rRNA from 1 species